rnacentral:misc_RNA from 1 species
GAUGAAGAACGUACCGAAAUGCGAUAAGUAAUGUGAAUUGCAGAAUUCAGUGAAUCAUCGAAUCUUUGAACGCACCUUGCGCUCCUUGGUAUUCCGAGGAGCAUGCCUGUUUGAGUGUCAUUAAUAUAUCAACCUCUUCAGCUUAUGCUUGUUGAGUGUUGGAUGGUGGGGGUUUGCUGGUGUCUUAUGAAGUCAGCUCCUCUGAAAUGCAUUAGCGGAACAAUUUGUUGACCGUUCAUUGGUGUGAUAAAAAUAUCUACGCUAUUGACGUCAGUCAGUUCAGCUUCUAACAGUCCAUUGACUUGGACAAAUUUUUCAUUAAUGUGACCUCAAAUCAGGUAGGACUACCCGCUGAACUUAAGCAUAUCAAUAAGCGGAGGA